rnacentral:rRNA from 1 species
AAAGAAACUAACAAGGAUUCCCCUAGUAACUGCGAGUGAAGCGGGAAAAGCUCAAAUUUAAAAUCUGUCAGUCUUUGGCUGUCCGAGUUGUAAUCUAGAGAAGCGUUAUCCGCGCUGGACCGUGUACAAGUCUCCUGGAAUGGAGCGUCAUAGAGGGUGAGAAUCCCGUCUUUGACACGGACUGCCAGGGCUUUGUGAUGCGCUCUCAAAGAGUCGAGUUGUUUGGGAAUGCAGCUCAAAAUGGGUGGUAAAUUCCAUCUAAAGCUAAAUAUUGGCGAGAGACCGAUAGCGAACAAGUACCGUGAGGGAAAGAUGAAAAGAACUUUGGAAAGAGAGUUAAACAGUACGUGAAAUUGCUGAAAGGGAAACGCUUGAAGUCAGUCGCGUUGUCCAGGGAUCAACCUUGCUUUUGCUUGGUGUACUUUCUGGUUGACGGGUCAGCAUCAAUUUUGACUAUUGGAAAAAGAUUAAGGGAAUGUGGCAUCUUUGGAUGUGUUAUAGCCCUUGGUUGCAUACAAUGGUUGGGAUUGAGGAACUCAGCACGCCGCAAGGCCGGGUUUUUAACCACGUACGUGCUUAGGAUGCUGGCAUAAUGGCUUUAAUCGACCCGUCUUGAAACACGGACCAAGGAGUCUAACAUGCCUGCGAGUGUUUGGGUGGAAAACCCGAGCGCGUAAUGAAAGUGAAAGUUGAGAUCCCUGUCGUGGGGAGCAUCGACGCCCGGACCAGACCUUUUGUGACGGUUCCGCGGUAGAGCAUGUAUGUUGGGACCCGAAAGAUGGUGAACUAUGCCUGAAUAGGGUGAAGCCAGAGGAAACUCUGGUGGAGGCUCGUAGCGAUUCUGACGUGCAAAUCGAUCGUCAAAUUUGGGUAUAGGGGCGAAAGACUAAU